UCGCUGAGAUGAGGCGUGAUGACGAGGCUCUUCGGAGCCGAAGCGAGUGAUACCCAGCUUCCAGGAAAAGCCUCUAAGCUUCAGUCUAAGAGUGACCGUACCGCAAACCGACACAGGUGGGCUGGUAGAGAAUACCAAGGCGCUUGAGAGAACUCAGGAGAAGGAACUCGGCAAAUUGAUACCGUAACUUCGGGAGAAGGUAUGCCCCUGGUACGUGAAGGCCCUCGCGGCCGGAGCGGAACGGGGUCGCAGAGAAUCGGUGGCUGCGACUGUUUAUUAAAAACACAGCACUCUGCAAACACGAAAGUGGACGUAUAGGGUGUGACGCCUGCCCGGUGCCGGAAGGUUAAGUGAUGGGGUGCAAGCUCUUGAUCGAAGCCCCGGUAAACGGCGGCCGUAACAAUAACGGUCCUAAGGUAGCGAAAUUCCUUGUCGGGUAAGUUCCGACCUGCACGAAUGGCGUAACGAUGGCCACACUGUCUCCUCCUGAGACUCAGCGAAGUUGAAAUGUUUGUGAAGAUGCAAUCUCCCCGCGGCUAGACGGAAAGACCCCAUGAACCUUUACUGUAGCUUUGCAUUGGACUUUGACGGGACUUGUGUAGGAUAGGUGGGAGGCUAUGAAACCGGGACGCCAGUUCCGGCGGAGCCAUCCUUGAAAUACCACCCUGGUGUCGUCGAGGUUCUAACCCAGGCCUGUGAAUCCAGGUCGGGGACCGUGCAUGGUGGGCAGUUUGACUGGGGCGGUCUCCUCCCAAAAGGUAACGGAGGAGUACGAAGGUCACCUAGGUACGGUCGGACAUCGUACUGAUAGUGCAAUGGCAAAAGGUGGCUUGACUGCGAGACCCACACGUCGAGCAGGUGCGAAAGCAGGUCAUAGUGAUCCGGUGGUUCUGUAUGGAAGGGCCAUCGCUCAACGGAUAAAAGGUACUCUGGGGAUAACAGGCUGAUUCCGCCCAAGAGCUCACAUCGACGGCGGAGUUUGGCACCUCGAUGUCGGCUCAUCACAUCCUGGGGCUGUAGCCGGUCCCAAGGGUAUGGCUGUUCGCCAUUUAAAGUGGUACGUGAGCUGGGUUUAAAACGUCGUGAGACAGUUUGGUCCCUAUCUGCCGUGGGCGCUGGAAGUUUGAGAGGGCCUGCUCCUAGUACGAGAGGACCGGAGUGGACGCACCCCUGGUGUACCGGUUGUGACGCCAGUCGCAUCGCCGGGUAGCUAUGCGCGGAAGAGAUAACCGCUGAAAGCAUCUAAGCGGGAAACUCGCCUCAAGAUGAGACUUCCCCGGGGCCUCGAGCCCCCUGAAGGGUCGUUGAAGACCACAACGUUGAUAGGCCGGGUGUGUAAGCGUGGCAACACGUUCAGCUAACCGGUACUAAUUGCCCGUGUGGCUUGAUCC
rnacentral:rRNA from 1 species